AGGGAAGAGGACUUGUGAUUAACGUGGUCUGGAUUAACGGACUGACAUUUUCAACAUCAGAAACGCGAGUAUGAAACGUGAACUACGGAAUGAAGAUCUUCAUCACCCGAACACUUCCUGGACAGCUUGGACGACAUCUAAGAGAAUGUUAACCAGAAAACAUGCUUUAUGAAACACGUUGACCCCUGACCCUAAAGGGCAGCAGGUCACUUGUCCUGCCAGGCUGCAGUUCUUCAACUACGUUCUGCUCAUGAGCUAAAAUGAUCUUCACAAAUCAACAGCAAUGAAAGAAAUCUGAUAGAACUGCGGCUACACUAAACAUGUUCAAGUAGCACAGUAACCUUCCCUGCAUAUAUGAACAUCCAAGACUGUUGCUAGGCAACAGCUGUUGCUAAGCAAGGGGUCUGCGACAGGGGUGUAAGCAAUUCAGACUUAUUUUCUAAAAUAUAUAAAACCCUUCAGCGAUGAACUUGGCUUCACACCUGUCAGAUUUGGAUUAUUCAAGCUGAACUUAUUUUGAAUAUUGAUUUUGAUUAAUAUUACUCAGAUUCAAACAGAGACGACUCAUCAUUCUAGUGUACAAAGGUUUCAUGAGGUUAUGGAAAUACAGUAUUUAGACCAUUAUCUCUUGGCAGCGCUCUGUGUGGAAUAUACAGUAAAGAUGAAAUUUCAACUGUGA